UACGUAGGGUGCGAGCGUUAAUCGGAAUUACUGGGCGUAAAGCGUGCGCAGGCGGCUUUGCAAGACAGAUGUGAAAUCCCCGGGCUCAACCUGGGAACUGCAUUUGUGACUGCAAGGCUAGAGUACGGCAGAGGGGGAUGGAAUUCCGCAUGUAGCAGUGAAAUGCGUAGAUAUGCGGAGGAACACCGAUGGCGAAGGCAAUCCCCUGGGCCUGCACUGACGCUCAUGCACGAAAGCGUGGGGAGCAAACAGG
rnacentral:rRNA from 1 species